rnacentral:lncRNA from 1 species
AAUUGUCAUAAGAGAAAAGAGACUAGUAAGCAGAAUAACAUUUUUACAGACAACAAAGGCAUAACAGAAAGUCUUGCGCAAAGAAAAGAUCAAAACAGAAACCUAUUUGAAAAGAGCUAAUCGACAUUAAGAAAGAUACAAGACAUAAACAACAACAUAAAUUGGAAUUAGAAAAACCCAAAAAGCAGAUAACAGAACUCAAGAAAAGUUUUUUUAAUAUUAAAAUUAUUUUAGACAUUAAGAUGUGAUAGCCAGCCUCCAGGAUGGUCCCCAGUGACCCUUUUCCCCGAAUAUUUAGACCUUUCUAUAAUACUUUUCUACAUUGGCACAGGACUGGUCAGUAGGAUAUUAUAAAAGUGAUGACAUAUGAUUUAUGAGGCUAGGUCAUAAAAGAUAUUGCAUCUUCCAUUUGCCCUCUUAGAUCUCUUGCUCUGGUAGAAGCUAACUUCUGUCUGUUGAGCUCAUUCAUUCAGCCCUAAGGAAAGGCCAAAAAGGAGAGAGUUGAGACUUCCUGCCAAAAGCCAGCCCCAACUUACCAGCUUUAUGUGUUAGUUACCUUGAAAGUAAAUCUUUCAGCCUCAGUCAAGUCUUCAGAUCACAGCAACCUCAUAAGAGUCUCUGAGUCAGAACUGCUCAGCCAAGCCAUGCCUGAAUUCUCAAUCCAGAAAAAUGUGAAACAUAACAGGAGAGAAGUGGACUGGAUAACAGAAAUUCACCUAAUGCAUACUCUUUGCCAAUUGGACCAGUGUCAGUGACCAUAGAAAGAAAGAAAGAAAGGAUCAAUGAUGGUUGUUCUCACCCACAUUUGGGAAAUGGAGGCAGCUAUGUAUACCACCCACAUUCCAUACAUGAAUGCCUCCUGGAAGAAUUUUAAGGAAAUCUUCCAGGAGCCCACUAAGCACACUGCAUCGAUUU